GAGUGGGUGGACGUGGUCGUGGAUGACCUGCUGCCCAUCAAGGACGGGAAGCUAGUGUUCGUGCACUCUGCCGAAGGCAACGAGUUCUGGAGCGCCCUGCUUGAGAAGGCCUAUGCCAAGUGAGUAGCGGCUGAGGGGGCAACUCCAGCUUCCAGCUCCCCCUAGGGGUGGGGGCUCAUGACUGUCUUCUCAGAGGGUCCUGCUUGAUGCCAGAGUGCUGACCUGGAGCUGCCCACAGGGUAAAUGGCAGCUACGAGGCCCUGUCAGGGGGCAGCACCUCAGAGGGCUUUGAGGACUUCACAGGCGGGGUUACCGAGUGGUACGAGUUGCGCAAGGCUCCCAGUGACCUCUACCAGAUCAUCCUCAAGGCGCUGGAGCGGGGCUCCCUGCUGGGCUGCUCCAUAGACAUCUCCAGCGUUCUAGACAUGGAGGCCAUCACUUUCAAGAAGUUGGUGAAGGGCCAUGCCUACUCUGUGACCGGGGCCAAGCAGGUACUGCCCUGGGUGGGGCCUUCCCUGAAGGGCGGUUCCUGCCCCCUGGCCUGUCCUUGCCUCUCUGGCACCUGACCAGGGCUGUGGAAGGUGCUGGCUCCUCCUUUCCCCUCCUGCAGCACCUUAUCUCUCUUCUGGGGACACCCAUCUGAGAUGCCUAUCAUGUCCUGCCCUGACUGACUGUAGUUCAUGUGUGCAGCUGCCUGCCUGGGCUGUGAAUUCCAAGAGGACAGGCUUCAUCUGGGUGCUGAGCAGGGCUUGGAGAGGAUGAGGGUAUGGGAGGCGGAGUGUUAAAGUGCGUGCAUGGGCCAGGUGCACUGGCUCACACCUGUAAUCCCAACACUUUGGGAGGCUGAGGUGGGCAGAUCACCUGAGGUCAGGAGUUCGA
rnacentral:lncRNA from 1 species